UACGUAGGGGGCGAGCGUUGCCCGGAUUCACUGGGUUUAAAGGGUGUGUAGGCGGGUAUUUAAGUCAGUGGUGAAAUCUCCGGGCUCAACCCGGAAACUGCCAUUGAUACUAUUUAUCUUGAAUUCUGUUGAGGUAGGCGGAAUAUAUCAUGUAGCGGUGAAAUGCAUAGAUAUGAUAUAGAACACCGAUUGCGAAGGCAGCUUACUAAACAGAUAUUGACGCUGAGGCACGAAAGCGUGGGGAUCAAACAGG
rnacentral:rRNA from 1 species